rnacentral:rRNA from 1 species
UCAAAAACAUGUCUUUUUGAUAUUAAUUUAAAGUCUAAUCUGCCCACUGAUAAAUAUUAUUAAAGGGCUGCAGUAUAUUGACUGUACAAAGGUAGCAUAAUCAUUAGUCUUUUAAUUGAAGACUUGUAUGAAAGAUUUGAUGAAAUAUAAACUGUCUCUAAUUUAUAAAUAGAAAUUAAUUUUUUAAUUAAAAAGUUAAAAUAUUAUUAAAAGACGAGAAGACCCUAUAGAGUUUUAUAAUUUAUUUAUUUAAUUAUAAAAUAUAUAUUUAAAUUUAAUAAAUAGAUAAAUUAUUAUAUUGGGGUGAUAAAAAAAUUUAAUAAACUUUUUUUAAUUAAAUAACAUAAAUAAAUGAAAAAAUGAUCCAUUAUUAAUGAUUAAAAGAAAAAAUUACCUUAGGGAUAACAGCGUAAUAUUUUUUUUUAGUACAAAUAAAAAAAAAAGUUUGCGACCUCGAUGUUGGAUUAAGAUAAAAUUUAAAUGCAAAAGUUUAAAAGUUUUGAUCUGUUCGAUCAUUAAAAUCUUACAUGAUCUGAGCU